rnacentral:rRNA from 1 species
AUGAACGCUGGCGGCAGGCCUAAACAUGCAAGUCGAACGCUGUAGCAAUACAGAGUGGCGCACGGGUGAGUAACAUGUGGGAAUAUGCCUUUUGGUACGGAACAACGUUUGGAAACGAACGCUAAUACCGUAUGGUCCCUUCGGGGUAAAGAUUUAUCGCCAAAAGAUUAGCCCGCACUGGAUUAGCUAGUUGGUAAGGUAAUGGCUUACCAAGGCGACGAUCCAUAGCUGGUCUGAGAGGACGAUCAGCCACACUGGGACUGAGACACGGCCCAGACUCCUACGGGAGGCAGCAGUUAGGAAUAUUGGACAAUGGGCGCAAGCCUGAUCCAGCCAUGCCGCGUGAGUGAUGAAGGCCUUCGGGUUGUAAAACUCUUUAGCCGAUGAAUAUAAUGACUGUAGUCGGAAAAUAAGCCCCGGCUAACUUCGUGCCAGCCGCCGCGGUAAUU